CUCCACGAUUCUCACGAUUCUCAACCUUAUCCUUUUCGUGGCCGCAAUCUUUUCCAUUCCUUUUCAAAUUUUCCGAUUCCACCACAGGUGCCGGAUCCAUCAUCAUCUGGCCUCCGACAUCAGAUUCCAACUUAUCAAUUUUCGAAGACAAUUCAGCUACGGCUCCAGCCGAGUUGUUGAAGCUCCGCCUCCGUCGAAGCGAGAGGUUAAGAUCCGAGAAGGACUCAGAGAUGCCAGCACCGGCGGUGGAGAUCGUGGUAGUCUCCAUGGAGGCAGAAAG
rnacentral:misc_RNA from 1 species